GCUGAAGCAGUCCACCUUCCAAGCGCUCUGCUCAGCACAGUGUGCAGAGCAUUACAAGUGCUGCCAACCACUGUUUGUGCUUGCAGGAAGUAUCAGAACAGUUAAUGGUCUUCAAACAUUAGCUCUCAUGAGGUACACCCCGGUACUUGGCACACACUGAGACUGUCAGGAAGGUGCAUUUGAAGGAUUGAUCUGAGAAGAGCUGGAUUUAAAUGAGAAGAGAGGAUCCGGGCUGGCAGCGGGAAGAAUUCCAAGAGAGCUGAGUCUGUUAGUCUGGCUCUUUUCAGUCUGACAUCCCCUUGGCCGUACGAAGCUGCAAAAUAUUGCUGUGGGACUGGGGAGAGAUGGCCAGCAAGACCACAUUCUUUUGCGUUUCAAAGUGGUUACCAGAGUAAAGUUUGCAAAAGUGUCCUUGCUUCCACUGAGAAAUGUUUAGGAAGCCAGUCACCAAAGCUGCAGUAAUUAGGGCAUGAACAGCCACCGGAGAAAUAAGAGAAACUGCCAGCUGGAGGGUUUUCAGGUCACCCUGCUGAAGGACAGAGAAGUGACCAGCAGAUGAUGUUAUAAUCUGGUGUUGGCUGGAAGAUAGCUUAGAGGACCUGCAGAUGGGAAGUGUGGGGAUGCUGGAUUUGGGUUGUGAAUCAACACAGGCUGAGAUAAUGUGAGUAUACACACCGUAGGGAAACAAGGAGGUGAUCCGAGAAAGCCAGCACAGCUUUGGCAAGGGCACAUCGUGCGUGACCAAUGUGGUGGCCUUCUACAAUGGAGUGAUGGCACUGGUGGACAAAGGAAGAGCAACUGAUGUCAUCUGCCUGGGCUUGUACAAGGUCUUAGACAUGGUCCUGUGCCAUACCCUUAUUUUCAAAUGGGAGAGAGAUGGAUUGCAAGGCUGGGCUAUUUGGUGGAUAAAGAGUGAGCUGGAUGGUCACAGCCAGAGGGCUGAGGUCGGUGUCUCCAUGUCCAGGUGGAGGCCGGUAAGGAGCGGUGUCCCCCAGGGGCCCAUCUUGGGAUCAGAGCUCUUCAACAUCUUUAUCAGUGCCACAGACAGUGGGAUCGAGUGCACCCUCAGUGAAUUUGCUGAUGACACCAAGCUGAGUGGUGCAGCGAAUACAAUGUAAGGAAGGGAUGCCAUCCAGAGGGACCUGGCCAGGCUUGACAAGUGGGGCUGAUCUUUGUUCCUCGUUAAUACCUAGUGGUGGUGGUGCACUGGGGAAGAGGCUGGGCGGUGCUUUAGACAAUUACCCUUCCAUUCCCUCAGAUUGCAGACAGGCCCUCGCUCAGGUUGGCUGUGGUAAAGAAACCAUACUGUAAAAAUAGGAACUUCCUGUGCAGCCGGUGAGAAACCUGAGGCGAGUCAGCAUCCACGCAAGCUGACUGAAGGGGUUGUGCAGAACAACAGGCACAAUGGCCGGGAAAGUGAGGGGCUCCAGCUCUGCCCCUUGCUUUGAAGCUGCCCAUGUGCCCGGUGUUUCAGGCGGAGGGGAGCAGCUCCUUCCCACCUGCGUUGCUGUGGGAUGUGGUGGGUCAGUGCUAUGUGCUGGAGGUUGUGCUGCCUUUCAGGAGGGGUAGGAGAAAGGUUGGAGGAGUGCCUGCAGCAUUCCCAGUCUUUAAAGAGACUGAUUAUAGUUGACAGCUCUUCACUGUGUUUUUACAAGGAGAGAUUAUCCUUCUGGGCUGGGAUAAUAUGACAGUGGGCUGUCACAUCGUUCUGCUUACGGGCAUAAGCUACUGACUGGAGCUGUUUUGCUGGGACCCCUCAGAGCAGAUGAGCACAUCCCAGACAAGUUGUCAGCAGAGUAUCAGAGGAAGCACGUUUCAUGUUUGCAGGGGCUUCUCUUCCCCCUGCAAUGACCUGAGACUUGGGCUGAGGCUCGCCGUUCUGGGAGCUGAGGGAAAAAACCCUGUAAGUUACAGGCACACCUCGAGUCUUGGCUCUGAGCACAGAGAGUGUGGCUUUGUCAUGGGAGAAAGGGGUUGUCUGUCCCCCUCCUGCUGGGCUGAAGGUGCCCGAGUGGUAUGCAGAUUCCUGUCACCGUGGCUGAGUGUCUCUGGGACACAUGCAGGAGGUGACAGUGCUAGAUCCCAGCAGCCAUGAAUUGUCUCCAGCCUUGGGAGGCGUGGGGCGCUCGAGCUGUGACUGGAGCUUAGAGAUCCAUUGCUGAGCAUGUGGGACGUACAGGAGCAGGGCUUGGGAUGAGGGUGCUAAAAUUAACUCCCGUGUUCUUCCCUAAAAUGGCUUUAUUUACUUCUGCAGGAGGAGAAAGUGAGGAACUCACCAGCCCUUGUUUACCGUCUGGUUUCAAAUCUGGGUGGCAGCAUGCUGAGAUAGUGUACGAAAUCAAAGGACAGCAGGCAGCCUCUGUGUCACUCUUGCUCUGACAAAGCAGCAAAGAUGCUCCACCAGAGAGCGCAUAAAGGUGAGGAAGUGAAGGACUUGGAUUUUCAUGCUUUCCCUUGCUGUGAUGCUUUGUUCAGCAGAGGCCGGACUCAUAGGUAAGCUUGUUUUCAUUUCAUUGCACUUUAAAUGGCAGGUAGUGGAAGAAGUGGCAGCCAUGAUACACAUACAUCGUGAUGCUGUGCUAAGCUGCCACGAGUACUGCGGUAUGAUGAUCUCAAGCAGAUAUUGAUGGCUGUUGCAUUUCUCUAUAGAAGGGACUGGGGAUGUGAGAUAGGACCUCCAGCUGGUACGGGCAAACUUACCCUCUCCUCAGCCACUAAGGAUGUGGUGCAGGACCAUGUCUGAGACCUUGCACAAGUCCUGAACUGCAUUUUGAGUGAUCUCUCCUGAGAAAGACUUUGCUUUGUGAGUUUGAGUUGGUGCCUCGGCACGGUGGUGGAAUUGCUGGAUCAAAUGAGAGAGGCCCGUGAGUUUGGCACAGAGCUCGUGAUGCAUUUGGCAGCGCUGGUGUUGGGUCAGGGUAAGAAGUAAGGGCCAUAAACGUGAGUGAGCCACAAAAAGAAACCCCGAACGCAGCUCGCUGGACUUCACAGGUGUUCGUGCCUCGGCAGGGGCAGGGCUAAACGCCAUUGCACGGGGUCUCACUGCAGGCGGAUCUCACUCUGCCCAACCAACGUACCGCCGCCGCACCGAGCUGCAGCCGGCUAACUGCAAUGCACCACUCCGGCACCCGGCCCCGCACACCGUCCCGCGUCCC
ensembl:lncRNA